UACGUAGGGGGCAAGCGUUGUCCGGAUUUAUUGGGCGUAAAGAGCGUGUAGGCGGCUUUACAGGUCCGUUGUGAAAACUCGAGGCUCAACCUCGAGACGCCGGUGGAAACCGUAAGGCUAGAGUCCGGAAGAGGAGAGUGGAAUUCCUGGUGUAGCGGUGAAAUGCGCAGAUAUCGGGAGGAACACCUGUGGCGAAGGCGGCCCCCUGGUUGGAUACUGACGCUGAGGCGCGAAAGCGUGGGGAGCAAACGGG
rnacentral:rRNA from 1 species